GUGAAUCAUCGAAUUUUUGAACGCAAAUUGCACUCUCCUCGGAGAGUAUGCCUGUUUGAGGGCCAGCCUAUAAAAAAUCGACAUCGUUGCUGUUUCGCGGUGGCGUCCGUCGGAAAUUGGGUCAUCUUAAAUCUUUUGGUUUUAAGCGACUUAAAAUUUUCUUUUUGGUUCCAUGAACGUUUCUAAGAUUUAUUUUUUUAAAGGUUUAGGUUAUGAAUUUUUUUAAAAGUUGCCA
rnacentral:misc_RNA from 1 species